rnacentral:rRNA from 1 species
CGUAGGGUGCGAGCGUUAAUCGGAAUUACUGGGCGUAAAGCGUGCGCAGGCGGUUUUGUAAGACAGGCGUGAAAUCCCCGGGCUCAACCUGGGAACUGCGCUUGUGACUGCAAGGCUAGAGUACGGCAGAGGGGGGUGGAAUUCCACGUGUAGCAGUGAAAUGCGUAGAGAUGUGGAGGAACACCAAUGGCGAAGGCAGCCCCCUGGGUCGAUACUGACGCUCAUGCACGAAAGCGUGGGUAGCAAACAGGAUUAGAUACCCUGGUAGUCCACGCCCUAAACGAUGUCAACUAGGUGUUGGGUGGGUAAAACCAUUUAGUACCGGAGCUAACGCGUGAAGCUGACCGCCUGGGGAGUACGGCCGCAAGGUUA